rnacentral:tRNA from 1 species
UGGGGUUUAGUUUAGUUGGCAAAACACCGGGCUUUGAUCCCGGUAUCGGGGGUUCGAAUCCCUCAGCCCCUG